UACAGAGGUCCCAAGCGUUGUUCGGAUUCACUGGGCGUAAAGGGUGCGUAGGUGGUGGGGUAAGUCGGAUGUGAAAUCUCCGAGCUCAACUCGGAAAUGGCAUUGGGAACUACCCUGCUAGAGGGUCGGAGGGGGGACUGGAAUACUUGGUGUAGCAGUGAAAUGCGUAGAUAUCAAGUGGAACACCAGUGGCGAAGGCGAGUCCCUGGACGACUCCUGACACUGAGGCACGAAAGCUAGGGGAGCAAACAGG
rnacentral:rRNA from 1 species